rnacentral:tRNA from 1 species
GCUCGCGUAGCUUAAACUAAAGCAUACCGCUGAAGAUGGUAAGAUGGGCCCUAGAACACCCCGCAAGCA